rnacentral:lncRNA from 1 species
GAAACCCUAAUGCUGAUUGAAGGAAAGAGUUCAGUUUAGGAUUUAAAACCCUAAUGCUGAUUGAAGGAAAAAGUUCAGUUUAGGGUUUAAAACCUUAAUGCUGACUAAAGGGAAGAGUUCAGUUUAGGGUUUAAAACCCAAUGCUGACUAAAUGGAAAGAGUUCAGUUUAGGGUUUAAAACCCUAAUGCUGACUGAAGGAAAAAGUUCAGUUUAGGGUUUAAAACCCUAAUGCUGACUGGCUGGGGACAAAGUUCGAGGAUACUAACUGACCUCUUUUUUUGAAUUUUCUUGUUUUAGUAGAAGAUAAAAGGGAAUCUCUUGGAAACUUACCUUUCGAGUGAAUUCCUUAUUGCCAAACUGUUUCUUGUACUCAUGUACCUUCUUCUUUGGGUGACACCUGCUUCUUGCACGGUUGUCUUGGAUUAUGCCUGUUUCAACUUCUCAAACAAAGAAUAAUUGUUAGUUCGGAAAUGGCGGUUGGUUCGGUGACCUUGAUUGUUCCCACUGCUCAGGCUUGUAUUUCCAGAUUCUGGGAUGAUUUGCCUCGUAAGGCUCUUUAUGGUCCCGUUUUGCUCGGGGAUUUUAUUGGGGAUACUCUGUGGGGAUUUGUACAAGGCGGUCUUGCCGGGGAUUUGUUGCAAAGCGGACU